AGGAAGGUGUUCCGCGAAGCGUUCUGCGCCAAGAUGUUUGUGGCCAACUUGAACAACUCCUCGGUCCACAACUGGAAAGGAAAACGGAUGGGGAAAAAGGAUGAAGAGAAAGGGGUGACAGAACAGAAAUGCCUCAGAUCCUGCUCUGGGAGAAAAGUGGCAUCGAAAGAAAGGAAGAGCAACCGGAGUUGCUUCUGAAGUGAGAGAAUUGGCUGUCUGCAAGGACGUUGCCCAGGGGACGCCCGGAUGUUUUGAUGUUUUUACCAUCCUUGUGGGAGGCUUCUCUCAUGUCCCCGCAUGGAGCUGGAGCUGAUAGAGGGAGCUCAUCCACACUCUCCCCAGAUGGGAUUCGAACCUGGCAGCUUUCAGGUCAGCAACCCAACCUUCAAGUCACUUAGUCCACUAUGCCAUCUGGGGGCUCUCUCUCUGUUGGGUGAGAAGGGCGGGAUAUAAAUAUUGUAAUAAAUAAAUAAUAAAUUACACAGAGAGAG